AACGAACGCUGGCGGCAGGCCUAACACAUGCAAGUCGAGCGAGGACUUCGGUUCUAGCGGCGGACGGGUGAGUAACGCGUGGGAAUGUGCCCUUCUCUACGGAAUAGCCCUGGGAAACUGGGAGUAAUACCGUAUACGCCCUAUUGGGGAAAGAUUUAUCGGAGAAGGAUCAGCCCGCGUUGGAUUAGGUAGUUGGUGGGGUAAUGGCCUACCAAGCCGACGAUCCAUAGCUGGUUUGAGAGGAUGAUCAGCCGCACUGGGACUGAGACACGGCCCAGACUCCUACGGGAAGCAGCAGUGGGGAAUCUUAGACAAUGGGGGCAACCCUGAUCUAGCCAUGCCGCGUGAGUGAUGAAGGCCUUAGGGUUGUAAAGCUCUUUCAGCUGGGAAGAUAAUGACGGUACCAGCAGAAGAAGCCCCGGCUAACUCCGUG
rnacentral:rRNA from 1 species